CAAAAACAGAUUGAACACGAAGACGACAGUUAGCAGAAGGGUAGCCACCACAGCCAGCGGUGCUAGGGGUUAUGCUAAGAAUAAACAGUGAUCAUUUCCUGUUGCAGUUGAGUGGCAGUCUAAAAGCCCCAUCCUGCUUUUAUUCUAAUAUGACGAUUUUACCAUCUCUGUCAAUAAACAGAUAUUUUUAGGCAGUAACUUACGGUGAAUAUAGAGAUGAAAAUUAAGGAGCAGUUAAGGGUUAGACAGUGAAUACAGAGACUGAUCAUGAAGGAGCAGGUAGGUGUUUGACAGUGAAUACAGAGACUGAUCAUGAAGGAGCAGGUAGGUGUUUGACAGUGAACACAGAGACUGAUCAUGAAGGAGCAGGUAGGGGUUUGACAGUGAACACAGAGACUAAUCAUGAAGGAGCAGGUAGGGGUUUGACAGUGAACACAGAGACUGAUCAUGAAGGAGCAGGUAGGGGUUUGACAGUGAAUACAGUGACUGAUCAUGAAGGAGCAGGUAGGGGUUUGACAGUGAACACAGAGCAGGUCUUUAAGGAGCAGAUUGGCGAUCAACAGUGAAUACAGCGACGAGUGAUUAAAGGAGCAGUUAAGGGUUGGGCACACAUUACAGCGAUAGGUCAUUAAAGAGAAGUUAGGGGCUAGAAAGUGAAUACAGAGACAGGUCAUUAAGGAGCAGCUAGGCGGUGAGCCAGUGAUCAAACCUAGAUUUAUUUCUCCUUCUUUCGUCCUUCCAAUGUUGUAAUGUGUCUGAAUAUUAACCAGUGGGAUUUUUUUUUUUUUUUAAGCCCAGGGCUAGGUGAGUUUACGUAACCCGGAUUACCGCCAUAUCUAACUACACGCUUCACAAAGUAUUGAUGACACAUUAUUAACUGUGGGUCUUGGGGUUUAAAGUUUAAAGGAGCGAGGAACAUGAAAGCAAACACGGUCACACUACAGAGACUCCUGUUGCCCUCCCUGACUGCUCCCUGGCAUGGCUUUAAGAGAGAGAGAGAGAGAGAGAGAGAGAGAGAGAGAGAGA
ensembl:lncRNA